GACGAACGCUGGCGGCGUGCUUAACAUAUGCAAGUCGAACGGAAAGGCCCUGCUUUUGUGGGGUGCUCGAGUGGCGAACGGGUGAGUAACACGUGAGUAACCUGCCCUUGACUUUGGGAUAACUUCAGGAAACUGGGGCUAAUACCGGAUAGGAGCUCCUGCUGCAUGGUGGGGGUUGGAAAGUUUCGGCGGUUGGGGAUGGACUCGCGGCUUAUCAGCUUGUUGGUGGGGUAGUGGCUUACCAAGGCUUUGACGGGUAGCCGGCCUGAGAGGGUGACCGGACACAUUGGGACUGAGAUACGGCCCAGACUCCUACGGGAGGCAGCAGUGGAGAAUAUUGCACAAUGGGCGGAAGCCUGAUGCAGCAACGCCGCGUGCGGGAUGACGGCCUUCGGGUUGUAAACCGCUUUCGCCUGUGACGAAGCGUGAGUGACGGUAAUGGGUAAAGAAGCACCGGCUAACUACGUG
rnacentral:rRNA from 1 species